rnacentral:rRNA from 1 species
CGAGCGUACACAGGUGCUGCAUGGCUGUCGUCAGCUCGUGUCGUGAGAUGUUGGGUUAAGUCCCGCAACGAGCGCAGCCCCUGCAUUCAGUUGCCAUCGGGUAAUGCCGGGCACUCUGGAAGGACUGCCAUCGACAAGAUGGAGGAAGUGGGGGAUGACGUCAAGUCAUCAUGGCCCUUAUGUCCAGGGCGACACACGUGCUACAAUGGCCGGCACAACGGGAAGCGAGUUCGCGAGGACGAGCGGAUCCCUCAAAGCCGGUCGCAGUUCGGAUUGAAGUCUGCAACUCGACUUCAUGAAGCUGGAAUCGCUAGUAAUCGUGGAUCAGCCAAGCCGCGGUGAAUACGUUCCCGGGCCUU